GUGGCAGAUUAGUGCAAUGGAUUUAAAAUCCUACUAUAAAGAUACCCUCUUUUAUUAAAA
rnacentral:tRNA from 1 species